rnacentral:rRNA from 1 species
UACGGAGGGUGCGAGCGUUGUCCGGAAUCACUGGGCGUAAAGGGCGCGUAGGCGGCGCGGGAAGUCAUCGGUGAAAGUUCAGGGCUCAACUCUGAAUCGGCCGGUGAUACUCUCGUGCUUGAGCACUGUAGAGGCAGGUGGAAUUCCGGGUGUAGCGGUGGAAUGCGUAGAGAUCCGGAAGAACACCGGUGGCGAAGGCGGCCUGCUGGGCAGUAGCUGACGCUGAUGCGCGACAGCGUGGGAGCAACAGG